CCUGCGCAUCAAGGCGAACCGCGAAUGCUCAUUAAUCAGACAUGGUCCUGGAUCGUACUUUCUACUGGAUAACUGUGGAAUUCUAGAGCUAAUACAUGCAGCAGAGCUCCGNCNUCGGGAACGAGCGCNUUUUUAGACCAAAACCGAUCGGGCCUCGUGNCGCUCUCCGUGGUGACUCUGUGUAACUUUGGGCUGAUCGCACGGGCUCGUNCCGGCGACGUAUCUUUCAAGUGUCUGCCUUAUCAACUGUCGAUGGUAGGUUACGCGCCUACCAUGGUCGUAACGGGUAACGGGGGAUCAGGGUUCGAUUCCGGAGAGGGAGCCUGAGAAACGGCUACCACAUCCAAGGAAGGCAGCAGGCGCGCAAAUUACCCACUCCCGGAACGGGGAGGUAGUGACGAAAAAUAACAAUACGGGACUCUUUUGAGACCCCGUAAUUGGAAUGAGAACACUUUAAAUCCUUUAACGAGGAUCAAUUGGAGGGAAAGUCUGGUGUCAGCAUCUGCGGUAACUCCAGCUCCAAUAGCGUAUAUUAAAGUUGUUGCGGUUAAAAAGCUCGUAGUUGGAUCUCAGUUCGGGAGGGAAGGUNNCCUAUCGGCGGUCACUUUCCCGUCCCAACACC
rnacentral:rRNA from 1 species